rnacentral:misc_RNA from 1 species
AAGUCGUAACAAGGUAACCGUAGGUGAACCUGCGGUUGGAUCAUUAAAAAUCAGAGUCUUGGACUCGCACUAGACUAUUUUCGGAUAGUCUGGUUAACCCCUGUGAAUUGUUUGCACCUCUGGUGUUUUUUACUAUUAAGACUGAAUCAAUGAGAUUUUAAAAAAAUACAACUUUUAACAACGGAUCUCUUGGCUCUC